rnacentral:rRNA from 1 species
UGUCGUCAGCUCGUGCCGUGAGGUGUCGGCUUAAGUGCCAUAACGAGCGCAACCCCCACCGCCAGUUGCCAACAGGCAAAGCUGGGAACUCUGGCGGGACUGCCGGCGCAAGCUGCGAGGAAGGCGGGGACGACGUCAAAUCAGCACGGCCCUUACGUCCGGGGCGACACACGUGUUACAAUGGCGCCCACAGCGGGAAGCCAGGCGGCGACGCCGAGCGGAACCCGAAAAGGCGCCUCAGUUCGGAUUGGAGUCUGCAACCCGACUCCAUGAAGCUGGAUUCGCUAGUAAUCGCGCAUCAGCCACGGCGCGGUGAAUACGUUCCCGGGCCUUGUACACACCGCCCGUCAAGCCAUGGGAGCCGGGAGUGCCUGAAGUGCGCGGCCGCGAGGAGCGCCCUAGGGCAAGACUGGUGACUGGGGCUAAGUCGUAACAAGGUAGCCGUACCGGAAGGUGCGGCUGGAACACCUCCUUUCUGGAG